AGUCUGGAAAGGCAGCGGGCCAGCUCCACUGCGGGUACUUUAACUCCUGCUCGGAGCUCCAGCGCUGAGCGUCCUCAGGUUACCUCCAACCCCCCGCCCCGGACACAAAUUCCUUUUCCUAAUUAGUGAUAAAGAGGGAAGACGGGGCUACCCACCCGCCCCACCUUUGGAACUGACGCCCUGGGUUCCCUCCCGUCCUCUGCAGUGCGCUGGGGUCACCGAGGACCCGCGAGACUACCGGGUCCAUCUUGCUCAGAUAAUUCAGUAUCGCCUGAAAUUUGAAAUUCCCAUUUCAGAUCAAGGAGACAUUCAAUAUCUUAUUCACCUGAGAGGCAGUUUCUGGAAGGUGCGGAAGCUCUGAAAAGCCAACAGUGACUCCUGGCUUCGCUAGUUUCCCUUAAGAAUCAACUGACCAUCACGAUUUUAUCUAAACGAUGUGACCCGUUUACGUUCCAAACUGCAUCACUUCUUCAGUGCAUAAGAGCUGUCAAUGGUGCCCAUUGCUUAAGAUGUUGACCUGGGACUCUAGUUCAGGGUCUUUCGUUGGCCAUGUCUGAAGGGGCUGGAUGCCGAAGGAGAGAGACGACUUUGCUUUCCAUAGAAUGGUUUGUGCUAUCUGACUCCCACAAGGCACCUUCGUUAACGGGUCCAUCAGUGGGCCUGGAGGCUGGGCAGCUGUCCUGAAACAGAAGAGUUGGGAAAGGCACUAAGAGACAGAGAAGAACGGCAGGCCAAUCCCUGGCCUGCUUUACCCUCCUCCCAAAGGCAGCCCCGCUGGUAAGCAAGGAGGAGGGUGACACUGAAGCACCCUCAAGACCCAGGGGCCCCACCAAGACCGCAUAUGACCUUACUGCAUCAAGGAAGCAUUGGGCCAUGGAACCAUCCAAGUCCUGUUACAUCCCUCAGCAAUCAGUUAAGUCCGCGGAGUAUAAAGUAAAAGGAGGCCCAGUGAGCAUUUGAACAAUCACAAACUUGUUUAGAGAAAGGCAGUAUGAAUUUGGUAAGGGAAGCUAUGUCUAGAAUGCUUCUGGAGAAUCACCGGUGGUAGGACUUCAUGGCCAUUACUGGGGUAGUCCAGGAGCACUUGGUUUAUCUUCUAAUUUAAAAAUCCAAGAAAAGCCAUAAAAAGGGCCUAGACUGGCAACAACACUGGAGACAAGGACUAAAGCCCACAGUUCAAGAGUAAUAGCAGAUAGUAUAUAUAAGCAGUAAAUGCUUGCUGAAUUAAUAAAUGGCUUGUUCAUGGGAAUAAACUGAGAAAUGCA